GUAUUCCGCGGCGACUCGCCGCGGCCUCAUUGAAGC
rfam:Betaproteobacteria bacterium RIFCSPLOWO2_12_FTLL_62_13 rifcsplowo2_12_scaffold_7805, whole genome shotgun sequence.